rnacentral:rRNA from 1 species
CCUACGGGGUGCAGCAGUGAGGAAUAUUGGUCAAUGGGCGGGAGCCUGAACCAGCCAAGUCGCGUGAGGGAAGACGGCCCUAUGGAUUGUAAACCUCUUUUGGCGGGGAGCAAUGCCGGGCACGCGUGCCCGGAGGGAGAGUACCCGCAGAAUAAGCAUCGGCUAACGCCGUGCCAGCAGCCGCGGUAAUACGGAGGAUGCGAGCGUUAUCCGGUUUUUUUGGGUUAAAUGGGUGCGUAGGCGGAUUUUUAAGUCAGCGGUAAAAUGUCCGGGCUCAACCCGGGCCUGCCGUUGAAACUGGGGGUCUUGAGUGGGAGAGAAGUAUGCGGAAUGCGUGGUGUAGCGGUGAAAUGCAUAGAUAUCACGCAGAACUCCGAUUGCGAAGGCAGCAUACCGGCGCCCGACUGACGCUGAGGCACGAAAGCGUGGGGAUCGAACAGGAUUAGAUACCCGGGUAGUC